UUGCUUAUUUUUUUUAAAUAAGAAUAAGUUUUAAUGGGUUGUAAUUGUGUUUGUUUGAGCUUUAUAAACUAACGAGAAUCAAUUUUUUUAAAUAAAAUUGAGAUACUACUAUUUUAGUAGUUUCUAAAAUAAAAAUAUUGUGUGCGCUACCUGAAAAGGGAAAAUCAAAGAGUGGUUUUUCACCAUUCCAAAUUAAUAAAUAAAAAUUAACCUGUACUUCCCAUAAACAUCUCUAAAAAUAAUAUAGACUUUUCAAAUAAGGUAGGUUUGGAGAUGUAACAUUGACGCUUUUUUUUUUUCUCUUUCUUUCUUCCGCUUAAUAAGGUAGGUUUGAGGAUGUGUAUUAGAAAUGAUGUUGGUCUAGUUUGUUCUUGCUAAAACGGAUUUGUUUGCUCCUCUGUGUGAUGUUGAUGUGGGGGAGGUCGUCGAGCUACAUACAACUUUGGAAUGAGUUUCAGAUCUUCAAUUCGACAACAUGGAUUUUGUUCUUGAUUCUAAAAAAAUUGUUGAUUCAAAUAUAGAUGAUAAUAGUGUGUUUGAUUGUAUUAUAUAUGCUUGUAGAUGAUAACUAAUACGCCGAGUUCAAUAGGUGGCAAACGAAUGGGGCCGCUUACGAGUCAGUUAAGACAGACCCGUUUAAUCCUAGCUCCCAUGUUCUAGAUAAUGUAUCCUCAUAUAUUUGACACAUUUUAGCUGAUGGAAUAAAAUGAAUUUCUUCCUUGAAAAAAAACAAACAUACCUUAGUUAGAUGCAGGAGAAAUUCCAUAACUUUCAUCAUAGAAUCCCUAUACUUAUUGUGAAUGAUAGUUUAUUCCCAUUUCACUCAACUAACUAAACAUUGAAAACGGGUCCAUUUAAUCUUUACCAUAUUCUUAAAACGUAACAUUCUAUAGAUUCUUUCUUUCAAGUUGUCAUUUUAUUCCUUUUGGAAUACAAUUGUUUUAAAGCCCGUCUUGAGGGGUGCAAACAGCUCAAUGGAGUUGGGCUUCUAGAAAAAAUAUUGUCUAGUAAACCAUUAAUAAAUAUAGGCUUAAAUAUGAUAAUCAUCCAUGUAAUUUUGGUCAGUUUUGAUUUUCGUCCCUGUAAUUUUUAUUUUUUUUUGAAAUACAUCCCUGUAAAUUUUUUUUUGUUUGAAAAAGGUCCCUGACCCCACUUCAUGUCUGACUUGACAUGUUAUUCGCCACGUGGCAGUUGCUGACUGUGCAACUUUUACCACAUGGCAGUCCAUGU
rnacentral:lncRNA from 1 species